rnacentral:rRNA from 1 species
UAACGGGAGGCUGCAGUGGGGAAUAUUGCACAAUGGGCGCAAGCCUGAUGCAGCCAUGCCGCGUGUAUGAAGAGGGCCUUCGGGUUGUAAAGUACUUUCAGCGGGGAGGAAGGGAGUAAAGUUAAUACCUUUGCUCAUUGACGUUACCCGCAGAAGAAGCACCGGCUAACUCCGUGCCAGCAGCCGCGGUAAUACGGAGGGUGCAAGCGUUAAUCGGAAUUACUGGGCGUAAAGCGCACGCAGGCGGUUUGUUAAGUCAGAUGUGAAAUCCCCGGGCGCAACCUGGGAACUGCAUCUGAUACUGGCAAGCUUGAGUCUCGUAGAGGGGGGUAGAAUUCCAGGUGUAGCGGUGAAAUGCGUAGAGAUCUGGAGGAAUACCGGUGGCGAAGGCGGCCCCCUGGACGAAGACUGACGCUCAGGUGCGAAAGCGUGGGGAGCAAACAGGAUUAGAUACCCUUGUAGUC